GGAAUCUUCCACAAUGGGCGCAAGCCUGAUGGAGCAACACCGCGUGAGUAAAGAAGGGUUUCGGCUCGUAAAGCUCUGUUGUUGGAGAAGAACGUGCGUGAGAGUAACUGUUCACGCAGUGACGGUAUCCAACCAGAAAGUCACGGCUAACUACGUGCCAGCAGCCGCGGUAAUACGUAGGUGGCAAGCGUUAUCCGGAUUUAUUGGGCGUAAAGCGAGCGCAGGCGGUUGCUUAGGUCUGAUGUGAAAGCCUUCGGCUUAACCGAAGAAGUGCAUCGGAAACCGGGCGACUUGAGUGCAGAAGAGGACAGUGGAACUCCAUGUGUAGCGGUGGAAUGCGUAGAUAUAUGGAAGAACACCAGUGGCGAAGGCGGCUGUCUGGUCUGCAACUGACGCUGAGGCUCGAAAGCAUGGGUAGCGAACAGGA
rnacentral:misc_RNA from 1 species